GAGAGUAUAGCUCAGUGGUAGAGCAAGUGCUUAGCAUGCACGAGGCCCUGGGUUCAAUCCCCAGCACCUCCA
rnacentral:tRNA from 1 species